rnacentral:rRNA from 1 species
GACGAACGCUGGCGGCGUGCUUAACACAUGCAAGUCGAACGGAAAGGCCCUGCUUGCAGGGUACUUGAGUGGCGAACGGGUGAGUAACACGUGGGUGAUCUGCCCUGCACUUCGGGAUAAGCCUGGGAAACUGGGUCUAAUACCGGAUAGGAGCCAUCUUUAGUGUGAUGGUUGGAAAGUUUUUUCGGUGUAGGAUGAGCUCGCGGCCUAUCAGCUUGUUGGUGGGGUAAUGGCCUACCAAGGCGGCGACGGGUAGCCGGCCUGAGAGGGUGGACGGCCACAUUGGGACUGAGAUACGGCCCAGACUCCUACGGGAGGCAGCAGUGGGGAAUAUUGCACAAUGGGCGCAAGCCUGAUGCAGCGACGCCGGGUGGGGGAUGACGGCCUUCGGGUUGUAAACUCCUUUCGCUAGGGACGAAGCUUUUUGUGACGGUACCUAGAUAAGAAGCACCGGCUAACUUCGUG